rnacentral:rRNA from 1 species
CAGUCGCCGCGGUAAUACGGAGGGUGCAAUCGUUAUCCGGAUUUAUUGGGUUUAAAGGGUCCGUAGGCGGACUUAUAAGUCAGUGGUGAAAGCCUGUCGCUUAACGAUAGAACUGCCAUUGAUACUGUAAGUCUUGAGUAUAUUUGAGGUAGCUGGAAUAAGUAGUGUAGCGGUGAAAUGCAUAGAUAUUACUUAGAACACCAAUUGCGAAGGCAGGUUACCAAGAUAUAACUGACGCUGAGGGACGAAAGCGUGGGUAGCGAACAGGAUUAGAUACCCGCGUAGUCCCUGUCUCUUAUAC